GAUGAACGCUGGCGGCGUGCCUAAUACAUGCAAGUCGAGCGAACAGACGAGGAGCUUGCUCCUCUGACGUUAGCGGCGGACGGGUGAGUAACACGUGGAUAACCUACCUAUAAGACUGGGAUAACUUCGGGAAACCGGAGCUAAUACCGGAUAAUAUAUUGAACCGCAUGGUUCAAUAGUGAAAGACGGUUUUGCUGUCACUUAUAGAUGGAUCCGCGCCGCAUUAGCUAGUUGGUAAGGUAACGGCUUACCAAGGCGACGCUGCGUAGCCGACCUGAGAGGGUGAUCGGCCACACUGGAACUGAGACACGGACCAGACUCCUACGGGAGGCAGCAGUAGGGAAUCUUCCGCAAUGGGCGAAAGCAUGACGGAGCAACGCCGCGUGAGUGAUGAAGGUCUUCGGAUCGUAAAACUCUGUUAUUAGGGAAGAACAAAUGUGUAAGUAACUAUGCACGUCUUGACGGUACCUAAUCAGAAAGCCACGGCUAACUACGUG
rnacentral:rRNA from 1 species